ACGGGUGUAGUUCAACGGUAAAACUUCGGUCUUCAAAACCGACUUUGUGGGUUCGAUUCCUGCCACCCGUGCCA
rnacentral:tRNA from 1 species